rnacentral:rRNA from 1 species
UCUUCCCUCUUUCUUCGUGCCUAAUACAUGCAAGUCGAGCGAACGGACGAGAAGCUUGCUUUUCUGAUGUUAGCGGCGGACGGGUGAGUAACACGUGGAUAACCUACCUAUAAGACUGGGAUAACUUCGGGAAACCGGAGCUAAUACCGGAUAAUAUUUUGAACCGCAUGGUUCAAAAGUGAAAGACGGUCUUGCUGUCACUUAUAGAUGGAUCCGCGCUGCAUUAGCUAGUUGGUAAGGUAACGGCUUACCAAGGCAACGAUGCAUAGCCGACCUGAGAGGGUGAUCGGCCACACUGGAACUGAGACACGGUCCAGACUCCUACGGGAGGCAGCAGUAGGGAAUCUUCCGCAAUGGGCGAAAGCCUGACGGAGCAACGCCGCGUGAGUGAUGAAGGUCUUCGGAUCGUAAAACUCUGUUAUUAGGGAAGAACAUAUGUGUAAGUAACUGUGCACAUCUUGACGGUACCUAAUCAGAAAGCCACGGCUAGCUACGUG